rnacentral:lncRNA from 1 species
CACAUCCACCGUCCAUUAUUUCCAUCACCACUUAAUCUUGGCCGUUCAUCUCGAUCCCCUUCCCCUAUAAAUACCCUUCAGCCGUUCUCACGAUUCACCUUACUUUGCUGGUCCCUGAACGCAAGGGAGGUGACGAUCAGGUUUCGGUUUUUGUAGAUUAUCGGAUUUGUUGUUUCGCUUCUUCUGUUUGGGUUUGAUUCUAUGCUUUCGAUAUCGAUGGAUUAAGUUUUGUUAUCGCUAUGCAUUAGGGUUUGGUGAUGGAUUUUGCUAACCGAUUAAAAGUUGGAUCUAAUGACCUUUGAAGGUUGUGACGAUAUAAAGAACCAGAGAUUGUGUAUAUUUGCAGGCUUGUUUUAUUGGUUCAGAUGAGACCCAAACGACAUCGUGGAUCAUGGUGAAGUAGGUGUUUGGUAUGAAACUGCUAUGAAUUCGAUUGGGAUCUUCUCGUUGUUUUGUAUAGAUAUAAUUUGUUGAUUUGAGGCUGAAGCUCAUCUUUAUUGAUAUGCUUAUGAGUUUUAAUUGGGAUGAUGAAUGCCAGGGCAUCGUGGAUUCAGUACCUAGUUCGGCUUGCGUUUUGAUUUGGACGAAAACCUCAUCGAUUUACCUUCUAUGGGAGUCCUUUCGCUUACCUCCUUUGAUUUUGUUCUGAAGUUUAGAAUAUAAUGAUUUGGAAAUUUCCCUCGUUUUUUAUCAAUCAAAUAAGCGGAGCUUUGUUGUUAUUUUUCAGGCCUCGUUUGCGGUGUUUGACACACGAGGGUUAGAUGUUAUCAUGUUAUGGUUAGCUGAUAACUCCAUAGGUUCUUAUGGGAUCUGAUUGUAUGGCUAUGAGGUUGGAUUUUAUACUGAUUUGCGGAUGCAAUGGAAUGUUGAAUGUCAAAAUUUUCCUUCUGGAUCUAUUGAUUUGCAAGAGAUAGUAAUCGUGUUGCAGAUUUGAGCUUAUGUCUGCACCUUUUCAGUCUUUGGAUAGAGUCCAUUUGUAAAGGUUUUCAUUGGUUUGCUGCAUAUGGAUUAUUGUUUUUGGUUACAUGCUUAUUCUUUUACAGUUUGUCAAAAUGCGCGUCUUUAUAUAUCUUUCAAGUCCCUGAAAUUUGUAAGUAAUACCAUGUUUAUGUCCUCCUUUUCCCUAUGAUCAUGCCGAACUUUCUGCUCUUAUAUUGACAUACUAAAUCCAGAAUUCGUGUUAACCGUCUUAGUUCGUAGCCUUUCAUUUCGAUGUGUUUCUUGUUUUUGGGGUAUGUUCGAAACGGGUUUUUAUGUCCUCAAUUUUGGCUUUCUAUUGAUUUUCUCUGUUGGAAUGAAAGGGUCUAUUUUAAUUUCUUCUUGUCUGAAAUAUAUAGUAAUUGUUUUUUCAAAGAUAUAAAAUUAUUCAAUGUAUUUGAUCAAUAAAUUUUGCUUUAUGGUCUUUAAGCUAUUAAUAAUUACAACCAAAAGUGGUUUGGCGCUUACCUUUUAGCGUUAUGUUUUUUAAAAGUUUGUUCAUUUCUAUGGUUGUCAUUGCAUAUAGUUGGACUUCGCAUUUGUAUAGCAGUGUGGUUAGGUUUUGUCUUGAUGAUUCACUACUUUUGUGAUUAAAGUGCUUAUGGAGACUAAGUUGGAUGGAGCCAAAAGUUUAUGACACUUAUGGGGAG